GACGAACGCUGGCGGCGUGCUUAACACAUGCAAGUCGAACGGAAAGGCCUGCUUUCCCUUGUGGAUUGCGGGUACUCGAGUGGCGAACGGGUGAGUAACACGUGAGUGAUCUGCCCCCAACUUGGGUAUAAGCCUGGGAAACUGGGUCUAAUUCCCGAUAGGACUGCAGGGUGGUGCCUGUGGUGGAAAACGAUUUUCUAGUGGUUGGGGAUGAGCUCGCGGCCUAUCAGCUUGUUGGUGGGGUAAUGGCCUACCAAGGCGGCGACGGGUAGCCGGCCUGAGAGGGUGGACGGCCACAUUGGGACUGAGAUACGGCCCAGACUCCUACGGGAGGCAGCAGUGGGGAAUAUUGCACAAUGGGCGGAAGCCUGAUGCAGCGACGCCGCGUGGGGGAUGACGGCCUUCGGGUUGUACACUCCUUUCGACCGCGAGGAAGCCACCUGGUUGGAAGGGUGGUGACGGUAGUGGUAGAAGAAGCACCGGCUAACUACGUG
rnacentral:rRNA from 1 species